rnacentral:rRNA from 1 species
UGAGGAAUAUUGGUCAAUGGGCGAGAGCCUGAACCAGCCAAGUAGCGUGCAGGAUGACGGCCCUAUGGGUUGUAAACUGCUUUUAUGUGGGGAUAAAGUGAGCUACGUGUAGUUUAUUGCAGGUACCACAUGAAUAAGGACCGGCUAAUUCCGUGCCAGCAGCCGCGGUAAUACGGAAGGUCCAGGCGUUAUCCGGAUUUAUUGGGUUUAAAGGGAGCGUAGGCCGUGGAUUAAGCGUGUUGUGAAAUGUAGACGCUCAACGUCUGAAUUGCAGCGCGAACUGGUUCACUUGAGUAUGCACAACGUAGGCGGAAUUCGUCGUGUAGCGGUGAAAUGCUUAGAUAUGACGAAGAACUCCGAUUGCGAAGGCAGCUUACGGGAGCACAACUGACGCUGAAGCUCGAAGGUGCGGGUAUCAAACA